AGUGAACGCUGGCGGUAGGCCUAACACAUGCAAGUCGAACGGCAGCACAGUAAGAGCUUGCUCUUACGGGUGGCGAGUGGCGGACGGGUGAGGAAUACAUCGGAAUCUACUUUUUCGUGGGGGAUAACGUAGGGAAACUUACGCUAAUACCGCAUACGACCUACGGGUGAAAGCAGGGGAUCUUCGGACCUUGCGCGAUUGAAUGAGCCGAUGUCGGAUUAGCUAGUUGGCGGGGUAAAGGCCCACCAAGGCGACGAUCCGAAGCUGGUCUGAGAGGAUGAUCAGCCACACUGGAACUGAGACACGGUCCAGACUCCUACGGGAGGCAGCAGUGGGGAAUAUUGGACAAUGGGCGCAAGCCUGAUCCAGCCAUACCGCGCGGGUGAAGAAGGCCUUCGGGUUGUAAAGCCCUUUUGUUGGGAAAGAAAAGCAGCAGGUUAAUACCCCGCUGUUCUGACGGUACCCAAAGAAUAAGCACCGGCUAACUUCGUG
rnacentral:rRNA from 1 species